CCUACUGGGGGCAGCAGUGAGGAAUAUUGGUCAAUGGGCGCGAGCCUGAACCAGCCAAGUAGCGUGAAGGAUGACUGCCCUACGGGUUGUAAACUUCUUUUAUAAAGGAAUAAAGUGAGGCACGUGUGCCUUUUUGUAUGUACUUUAUGAAUAAGGAUCGGCUAACUCCGUGCCAGCAGCCGCGGUAAUACGGAGGAUCCGAGCGUUAUCCGGAUUUAUUGGGUUUAAAGGGGGCGUAGAUGGGUUGUUAAGUCAGUUGUGAAAGUUUGCGGCUCAACCGUAAAAUUGCAAUUGAUACUGGCGGCCUUGAGUACAGUUGAGUUAGGCGGAAUUCGUGGUGUAGCGGUGAAAUGCUUAGAUACCACGAAGAACUCCGAUUGCAAAGGCAGCCUACAAACUGCCACUGACAUUGAUGCUCGAAAGUGUGGGUAUCAAACAGGAUUAGAUACCCGGGUAGUC
rnacentral:rRNA from 1 species